AAAGCACCAAGUCUUAACCUCUGGACCACCAUGGAAUUUCCGCUGCCAGCUUUACGGGAAGAGGUAGGAGAUGACAAGACCGCCAUCAAAUGUUAAACCUCGACCCCCAGCUCACUGCGGUCCCUUCGGCUGGACCACCUGCACACGGGGUCGCUGCACACAUCCACCCACAAGAACAUCAGGGACACCCACAACUCUACAGGCUCUCAGGACAGCCCCGGGAACAACCCCAGCAGCAGCACCAGCAGGCAGGACUCGUUGCACAAAGCCCCGAAGAAGAAGGGCAUCAAGUCCUCCAUCAGCCGCUUGUUUCGCAAGAAGAAAAAGGGCCGGCCUGAGCACCCCGGCAAGGAGGCGUUAGCACCAGGCAGGAUCUUUACCCCUAGCACCACCUGGAAAGCCCCAGUGAACGCUGACAACUAGAAAUGCAGAAAAUCCGAGCUGCUCCUAAGGUAAACUGGGAGAGCAGCAAGCACAGGUUGUAAAGACAAAGACACAGGAUGAGCGACAACGCGCCCACAGAGACAGGCAGGAAUGCGGUCACCCACAUAAAGGAAAUGUCUGUGCCGUUCGGAAGAGGAGCCGGCCAGCCCUUGGAGGGACAGUUGGAAUCGGAAUGAAAACCGAGACAAUGGUCAGCAGUGCCCACCCACACGGCCCGGGUGGCGUGGUGUCACUCACCGGGCUUCCUGCGUCCCCAGAGCUGCUGGUGGGAAGAUCUCUGAGUGCCAGGCCGGGCAGCGUCCCCGUGUGAGCUAAGGCAUCACUGCUAUCCUUCCAGUGCUGCUGUGGGCCCCUCUGUGGGCGGCCACCCUCAUCCCCUGCCCUGCCACCCACUCGGGCUGGGCUCUCCCUCUGGGAUCUUUUCAGGCCUUGAACUUGGGUGUUCCCAGCCCUCUGCCACGCCGGACUGGGACGCAGCUCAGGACUUGGCCUUGAGAUAUCAAGGAGACCUUGAAUCUGGAAGGACACCACCAUGGGAGCAGGAGAGCAAAGCCCACACGGGGAGGAAGCAGAGCUGGGGAACGUGCCCGCAGCCUCCACUGCGUCCUGCACAAGUGCCUCCUCUUUGCCUCUCUUUGACCUGAAACAACCCCCAGCUGCUGCUGCUCCACAGGUGAUUCCUAAAAAUGCACCUCCUGCAAGAGCUAUCGUCCUGCUGCUCUGGGGCUGCCUCAGUGUGUUCAGGAGUGUCAGACAAGUAGGGCUGCCACACCUCAUACUGGAGGUGGGGGGCCUGAUACUGGGGAAGGGUCGGAGGUUGGGGAAGGGUCUGAGGGUGGGGGG